CAGCACAGCAUGGCCAGCUCCUCACAAGAACAUGGCCAGCGCUGGCAGCAGCUUUUCCUCUAGAUGCUCUGGCAAAGGACAUAAAAGAACACAAGAUUAAUGUAGCCUGGAGGAGUCUGGCCCUGCAGAAAAUACAGGUAAAUUCAGCAGAAGCAUUUUGUGGUACACCUGUGACAGUACUGGUACUCCUGGCAGAAGAAUCAGGAAGCCUGUUCCUUUACAUUAGAACACAAACCCUCCAUCCAUCAGUCACCCUGGCAUUCCUCCUUCCCCAUAAAGCAUGUGACAGGACACAUUCACAUUUCCAAGGGGUCUUCUCAGAGCCUGGCUCUGUUUCAAAGAAGGUAUCAUGAAAGAAGAGCAUGCUGGCCUGUGAAAGUGGCAACGUGGAAAGAUCCUUAUUCAACUCAGGGGUGAAAAAAAGUGAAUUAGAUGCAGCAAGUCAUUUUCCUCCAGCUACAAGUAAUACAAUUCCCAUGCAGAACUGAAUAGUUAUGGGAUCAUUUUAAAGUUCAAACUUCUCUUCCUGGUCAAGGAGUGUUUCACAAAGGAGCAUGGAAUUAAUUUAAAUUCAAGACUACAGACAAAACAAAUGGGCCACAAAUGGUUUAUAAAUGUUUUCUUGCUUAAGAAUAACUCUGUGAUCCAUCACUGAGUUCACUGCUGAAGUGUUUGGCCACAGCAAGGAACCUGUUCCUCCUGCCACACUGGUGUAAACCAGAAUUGAUUCAUUUGAAACAAAUAGAUGAAGGUGAUGGUUAAAGUCAGACUAAAGCAAGUCUAACUAGGAGGAGCCUGACUGCUGUUUUAUCUAAACCCAUGGUAAUAUUACUGUCUGACCCACUGCACUCAAUUAAGCCUAUUUUUAUGUAUGUCAUAUAUUCUGCAAAGCAACUCUUUCCCAGUUUAUGUUCAUAUAAUUGCACUUACUCUGCUUGCUGAAGAACUGACCUAGUAUUUUCAA